CUCCACAGGCACUAGAAGCGAUACACAGCACAGGCAAAAAGAAGUGGUUGAUGGAAAGCCGUCUCUGGAUAUAGAAUAUCCUGCACAGCAAUGCAGUGUGAGCAAAGCACUGGAGUGCUGACAUUCCCUUCAGAGGAGGGGGAAUUUGGGUAUGCUGAAAAUAGAUCCUCUUGAGAUGGACAUCAAGCAGCUGCCUCACUUUCUGCCAGCUCUGAAGAUCUGACUUCCCUUCCUCCAAGCUGAGAAGGGUCAGAAGGGACAGACAGCUUGGUCACCUGUUGGCUUUUUAAAUGCUCCUGAAAUCUUCACUGCAACCAAAACAUUCACAAGCAACUCCCAUGGGAUUUCUGGUAACCUACAGCUUCCACAAGCUGCUUUCAUUGAAGAAGGGUUUUUCUUUUCAUCGCAUUAAUCAAAAUUGUUCUUGGUGAUGCACCUUUGCUAUCACAGCAGCGUAGAUGUUUCUGACUGAUCCAUGUAAGAAGCAAUGUCUUCAGACAGUUGUUGCCAACCUUACUCACAGAAGCAAUUUUCCUCCCUGACUACGAACAGCGUUUUUUCUUCCUAGGACACAGUUUGGUGAAAUUUCUAGUGGUGCUUCACUCUCUGUGCUCUUAUAAAGAAUGCAGUGGGAUGUCCCUGCCCAUGGCAGGGGGGAUGGGGCUGGGUGAUCUUUAAGGUCCCUUCCAACUGAAACUAUUCUAUGAUUCUUUAAACUUAGCUGUAUCAGACAGGAGUCUCCUCGGAUAAAAAUCUAAACUGUGAUACAGAAAGAACUAAAAUUAUCAAGAUCUUCGGGGGGGAAAAAAAGAAGUGAGAUAAAGUGGCCAGAUCUUAUACAUCUAUGGAAGAUUCGGUAUAACAUUUUACUUGAGAAAUAUUCCCCUUGGGAUUUGCAGCUCGCAAGCGCUGUUGUCGGCCCUGCUCUCAGUAUGAACAGGGCAUGCUGGAGGGAUCAAUGCACCCUGCGGGACCCCUGAGGAACCAUCUGACAGGCGAUGCCCGGCCUCUGCUCUAACAGCAUUUCUGCUGCCCUCUGUGUAAAAUGAGAGCUCCCAGGAAUGUUAGCACCAAAGAAACAGAAUUGCUGAAACACUGAUCGUUCAGAGCAAGACUUCUCAUCCCAACACUUCCCAACAGUAAGAUACAGCUGGGCACUGGACUCUGGAGAUGUGUCUUUCAGAAGACAGAGGAAGAAAGCAACUGGACUCUUAAUGACAGCUCAGCACCACCGAACUGUGAAGUGAAGAAGCAAGCAUCAAUGGAAGAGAACUGAAGAGUGGGUCCUGGAUGAGGACAUGACAUUAAGAAUGCCCUUUUCAUCACUCACCAAAGCAGCUGAGGAGCUCCUGUUACAGAGCAGUGACAACUGAAGAUGAGGAAUGUCUACCUCCUCUCCACCAUUCUCUGGUACUCCACUCUCAUCAGGAAGCCCCUGCAUAAGGCCU